AGAAGAGGAAGAAAGAAGGAAAAGAAGAAGGAAGGAAAGAAGAAGAAGAGCGGAGGAAGGGUGCUGCCCACCUGCUGCCAAGGCUGUACCUGAGCUCAAAUGUUGUUGUUGCCCUUAUCUACUUGCUGCCAAAAUGAAGUGGAAGGCUGCCAGUGACUUUGCUACAACUGGGGAGAUGUUGGUGAGCUGCACAACUGCCCCAGAGUCUCCCUACUACACUUGCAAGUCCUAGAAACCAAGAAGAGAUGGUGUAACCGGAGCUAAGACGGACAGAUGAUCAAUGAUGGUUGUGAGGUCGUGUCUGUGAGAUACAAUGAAGAGGAUUGAGAUUUUUUUUGAUAUUGCAAUUAUUUAUGUCAUUGACAAUUGUAAGAUGUAUUUAUUAUUGUAAAUUGUGGGAACCAACUCAUGUUGAUGUAUCACUGUAGAUGUGAUCACUAGGUAUAUGCUCUCUUAUGGAUUUUAUAUGUGUACUCUAAUUUAAAGUA